rnacentral:lncRNA from 1 species
UGAUAGUGAGGAGUAUUCUUUCAUUUCAGAGUUUGCUGGAAAUGGCAAUGAUGAUGAUGAUGAUGAUCAUGAUGAUGAGGCUAACGAUAGUGGAGACACGAGUGCAGUUCACCACUGAUCAGUCGUCCUCCCAUAGUCUGCUAGUCUGUCGCAGACCUCAGUGAGACCCACACACUCUUUUUAUGCUUUAUAUGAGAUAUUGUGUACUGAGGAUACUGCAAAGCUUUUAGUUGGGCGUGGCAAAUUUAGCACUGUAUUCAUAUUUUGUUACAUUAUGUGCCCUUGCCGGGCUUAUGCUUAUGUAUG